GCAUAUCAAUAAGCGGAGGAAAAGAAACUAACAAGGAUUCCCCUAGUAACGGCGAGUGAAGCGGGAAGAGCUCAAAUUUGAAAUCUGGUGGCCUCAGGUCAUCCGAGUUGUAAUCUAUAGAAGUGUUUUCCGUGCUGGCUCAUGUACAAGUCCCUUGGAACAGGGCGUCAUAGAGGGUGAGAAUCCCGUCCUUGACAUGAACUACCAGUGCUCUGUGAUACAUUUUCAACGAGUCGAGUUGUUUGGGAAUGCAGCUCAAAAUGGGUGGUAAAUUCCAUCUAAAGCUAAAUAUUGGCGAGAGACCGAUAGCGAACAAGUACCGUGAGGGAAAGAUGAAAAGCACUUUGGAAAGAGAGUUAAACAGUAUGUGAAAUUGUUGAAAGGGAAACGAUUGAAGUCAGUCGUGCUCUUUGGAUUCAGCCGGUUCUGCCGGUGUACUUCCUUUGAGUGGGGUCAACAUCAGUUUUGAUCGCUGGAUAAAGGCAGGAGGAACGUAGUACCCUCGGGUAAACUUAUAGCCUCUUGUCACAUACAGUGGUUGGGACUGAGGAACGCAGCACGCCUUUAUGGCCGGGAUUCGUCCACGUACGUGCUUAGGAUGUUGACAUAAUGGCUUUAAACGACCCGUCUUGAAACACGGACC
rnacentral:rRNA from 2 species